rnacentral:lncRNA from 12 species
AAAAAAACGUGAUGCAACUGCAGCAUCUCUGGAAAAAUACAUGGUGUUGGGACAAAGGUGAAGCUGUCAGCUGUGAGAUCUCUGUGCUGCAAAAGAUGUAUGAGCAG